GCCCUGUUGGCACAGUGGUUAAGCCCUCGGCUGUUAACCGAAAGAUGGGUGGUUCAAACCCACCCAGCGGCU
rnacentral:tRNA from 1 species